rnacentral:rRNA from 1 species
UACAGAGGUCUCGAGCGUUAGGCGGAAUCACUGGGCUUAAAGCGUGUGUAGGUGGAUGCCUAAGUACCUUGUAAAAUCCCACAGCUUAACUGUGGAACUGCUUGGUAUACUGGGUGUCUUGAGUCACUCAGGGGCGAGCGGAACAAAUGGUGGAGCGGUGAAAUGCGUAGAUAUCAUUUGGAACGCCAAUGGUGAAAACAGCUCGCUGGGGGUGCACUGACACUGAGACACGAAAGCCAGGGGAGCGAACGGG